rnacentral:rRNA from 1 species
AUGGAUGGACACCGGGAAGCAAGUCCGGCGCGGCACCGGACCAUCGAGCCGGCACGCGUUGACAGUGGAAGGGUUGGAGGCGCCGCAGCCACUAUGCACUCCCCUCCAUCGCGGCCAGCCCGUCGGAUUGACGCCCAUGACAACGUGUCCACGGUGUCGUCUGACCCACGGACGCAUAACGACCAACGUCAAGUUCUUCGAGAGAGGCUCAAGGAAGAUGCCCGGACUACCAUCGAGCACCGACAGGAGGCACAUCAUCAAUCUGAUAGGCGUGAUGGGCUUACUGCGUACACGCCUGCGCCAGGGGACGCUAACGACUUGCCUUAUGCGAUAACUUGUCGAGCGUUCACCCAUGAGCUGCGGCAGUUCCAGUGGCCCAACACCCACGUGUUCAAACCGGAGGUCCCGAAGAAGUACGAGGGCAAGACUCAUCCGUCUGAAUUCCUGAGCGUCUACACCAUCGUGAUGCAAGCCGCCGGAGCACGAGACGACAAGGUGCUCGCCAACUAUUUCCCGUUGGUGCUCAAGCCCAACGUCAGGUCAUGGUUGAUGCAUUUGCUAAUAGACUCCAUCUCCUCUUGGUCCGAUCUGUGCCACGAGUUUGUUGGUGCCUUCACGGGCGGCCACGUAGCUCCUGGCCAGGCAAGCGAUUUGCAUGUGAUCCCUCAGAGGGAUGGAGAAUGUUUGUGCAAAUACAUACAGAGAUCCAGCUGUGUGCAGUACAACAUCCCCGAUGUUCAUCCCGCCGUUGUCAUCAGCAUGUUCCAUCAGAACGUGCACAACCGUAAGAUGCGUGAAGAGCUGGCGAUGAACAAGGUUACAGAUGUUGCCGAACUGUACGUUCUGGCCGAUAGAUGUGCCCGAGCUGAGGAAGGAAGAAAGUACCCCGACGAGGAUGUCGACGCGGGAAGUGACUCUGAAGACAAAGACGUCGUCGCCCCGACAAAGAAGGGUCGACGAUGUAAUAGGAAGCGCAAGGGAAAGACCGUGCUUGCCAUCGAGGAAUCCGACAACCCCGGCACCGCCAAGAAGGUCAAGGUUGAUGACCCCGACAAGGAGAUUACCAGGUACAACGCCUGCCGGGCCUUGGCGGCUGCUGUCGGUGUCAAAACCAGCGGAUCUCUGGUAGGGGGUCCCGAACUGUGCGUCUAA